GGAAUCCCCGCAGGCGCUGGGUCUGCAGAUGGCGUCCAGGUACACAGUGGCGAGUGUGAUUCCGCAGUCUUGGGCUGUUUGGCCAAGCGCCCGCCGGACAUGGUACGCCGAAGGGUCAUCGGCGUGGAGUCCUCGCUUUCAGCGUCCGCGGCUGGGAAAUCGGCCAUCGCUACGGCGGGAACUGGGACUCGGGCUGCGUCCCGGCCCUUCCACAUCGGUCCACCGCACUCGUGGGCGCCCGCAUUGGUGCUGACAUAAUUUCCUGACCUCUGACCCGUAUUGUCUCGCGAUUAAAGAGCUGCGCCUGGAUCCCUCAGCAGUGAGGAGACCUGAAGACCAGAGGAAACACAGCAAUCGGAGUCUCCCUCUGUCAUCCAGACUAGAGUGCAAUGGCGUGAUCUCGGCUCACUUCAACCUCCGACUCCCAGGUUCAAGCAAUUCUCCCUGCCUCAGCUUCCCAAGUAGCUGGAAUUUCAGGGGCUCACCAGAGAAGACAGGGCAAGGUGAGGGGGAUCUCCUAGCAGAGGAAACAACAUGCGCCAAUCAAGCAAAGAUAUUUUUGUGCAUUCAAGGAACACAGAGAGGAAAGACAGUGGCAGAUGGAGACGUAUAAAGCAGGGAUCCUGUUAUGAAAAGCCCUAAAAAAUAGGGUAUAGAGUUUGGGCCAUAUUUCAGAGUAUCUGGGAAAUACUGGCCUCAUAAAAUGAGCUGGGGACUUGGCUGUAUUCCUUAAUUAUAGUAGAAGACACUGGGUGAACUCAGAGCUGAUAAUAGGAGUCCUCCUGAACCAGUUGAGCUUCUGAAUGGUAAAGAAGGCCUGGCUAUUCAAAGGGAACCAAAUUUUAAAAAAAUUGUCUUCUACUGGGGUAACAGAGGAAGAAACCCUUGAGCAAAAAAACCUUAAAAACUACCCUUGCCCCAUUCACUUUUUUCACAUGAAAAUACCAGUGACAGCUAUUCCAGGAAAAUCUAUUACAUCCUCUCCAAAAUAUAAAUUAGAUAUAACAUGCGUAAGAUAGUUAGAUAAAAGUUUUAGGCUGGUGCAGUGGCUCACGCCUGUAAUCCCAGCACUUUGGGAGGCCAAAGCGGGCGGAUCACGAGGUCAGGAGAUCGAGACCAUCCUGGCUAACAUGGUGAAACCCUGUCUCUACUAAAAAUACAAAAAAUUAGCCAGGUGUGGUGGCAUGUGCCUGUAGUGCCAGCUACUUGGGAGGCUGAGGCAGGAGAAUCACUUGAACCUGGGAGGCAGAGGUUCCAGUGAGCCAAGAUCACGCCACUGCACUUCAGCCUAGCAACAGAGCAAGACUCCAUCUCAAAACAACAACAACAACAACAACAAAAAACACACAAAGUUUUAAAAGUGUGUCAAAAUCCCCCAUGUACAAAAAAACUCACUAAAAAAAUCAGAGAAGAUGAAAAUCAUCACCCAACAUUUCAGUCUGAAUUAAAAAAAAAGUAUGAUGCAAUUGCAGCUCUAAAAGCAGACCACAAGCAAAAAUAUACGAUCUCAGGAGAGAGAAGAAAGUAAUAGAUAGACCAUAGAUGGGAGUUAGUGGAAUUCAAGACUGAAAGAGAAAAUAGGCUAAGUCACAUCAGAAAUGAAGAAUAAACUAGCUAGUGCAGCGGCAUGUGCCUGUGGUCCCAGCUACUUGGGAGACUGAGUCUAGAAGAUUGCUUGAGUCCAGGAGUUCAAGGUUGAGGCCAGCCUGGGCAACACAGUGAGACCCCCAUCUCUAGGCGCAUAAGAUCUGACAAAUGCCACAGAAAGUAUAG
rnacentral:lncRNA from 1 species